UACGAAGGGGGCUAGCGUUGUUCGGAUUUACUGGGCGUAAAGCGCACGUAGGCGGAUUCUUAAGUCAGGGGUGAAAUCCCGAGGCUCAACCUCGGAACUGCCUUUGAUACUGGGGAUCUUGAGUUCGGGGGAGGUGAGUGGAAUUGCGAGUGUAGAGGUGAAAUUCGUAGAUAUUCGCAAGAACACCAGUGGCGAAGGCGGCUCACUGGCCCGAUACUGACGCUGAGGUGCGAAAGCGUGGGGAGCAAACAGG
rnacentral:rRNA from 1 species